AGAGGCUAGACCAGCUGAGAUCAAGAUCUGCAUGCUGGAAAUGGCUACUAGUUGUGUGAGCCCUGCCCUCCAUCCUGGGGAACAUGGAGCUUGGCUUCUUGGCCUCUAGAUGAACUUAAGCACAAAUGCAGGAUGUGGCAGAAGAGGGUGGGAGCCCAGGGGGCAACAUUCUGCUGGUUUGGCCUGGUCUAGAUGAGGUGGAUCUGAAGCAAGAAUAUGAACAGCCUAGGACAAGAGGCACCUAGGGCUUGGCACUCUGGGAAACUACAGUAGGUUGGAUAAAGGGCGUGGCUGCUGCCAGGACAGGGUGUUUCCCUGGAGGAAGGCCCUGAAGUCUGAAAGUCAAAAUUUUGAAGAUGUUGUUGAAGUCAGAAGUCAACUUUGGGCAUUCUUCCUUCUGCCACUCAGCUGCCAGGGAUUGAACUCAGACUAGGAGUUUUGUAAAGACUCCAUGCUUGGACCAGGGAUGAAGGAGAUACCUACUGUCUGGUAAAGACACCCGAAGUCCUUUGAAAAACUACAGAAAACUGAGAACUCGGCAAUUAUCUUUGGAGUUACACUCUCUUCUGAGCUGGUCCUGUUUCUUGGUUCCUGUCUCUUGCUUCCUUUCCAGGACUCACUGAAUACUUUCAAUAGUCUCUUCCUCAGAGGGGAAAGGAAACCCAUCUGGAGUGAGGUUUACCUAUGAAGGGAGAACGUAGUUAUAUUUUUGCAUAUUAUGUAAAAUCUUGUUAUAUUUUAGAUAUCUCCAACUAUCACAUUGAAAUCCAGUCUCCAUUGUUAGAUAUUAAGAGAGAGAUUCCAUUGAGACCUUUAAGGCUUGGUUGGGUUAGCCUCUUAUGGACUAUUGAGUUAUGAAUAAAGUGACUUUUAAAACAAA